UUGUACUAAAGAGACUAAAAGGGAAAGAGGCGUAAUGUAUAUUAUCAAAAAUGACUAUUUUAUUUUCAUUUGUAUAAAAUUCCGUAAAUGUACUAUUUUCAUCUCUUUCCCACUUCAUCGUUAUCACGUCUCUUUUAAUAUCAAUUAAAACAUCAAUUCAAUUUAUGUUAUUAGAAUGAUGGUGUAUUUAAUUACGUGAAAGAUUAUGUAACCUUCGAAGUAACUUCAUGUUCUUCACCUCGAAGAAUGUUUUUCUUUCUGAAAGGAAAAUUUCAGCGAAAGUUGUGGAUUAGAGCUACUAGACGGCCAAAUGUACUUCUAUGGAUCAUUCCAGACAUUACAAUGUAAGGACAUGCUUCUGUUUAGAAGUAUGUCAUCAAUUUUUAUACUUAUGAUAUCAUUUUAAUAAUUGAGGCAAACUCAGAUAAUCAAACAAAAAAGAAGAUUGAUAUUAUAUUAAAGGGUUUCGAUAUUUUUGAGAUCAGAACUGGUCUUUAACACUGGAGCUUUAAUACUCGGCUCAGAAUUGACAAAUAAUAAGUUUCCAACAAAAAUUGUUCCAAAUUCAAAUGACCCAUUUGGAUAAAAAUGCAUAAUAGGAGACAUUGGAAACUCCAAAAACAAUACACUAGUAGUUCCUUUAGUUUUAUAUAAAGCGGCAUUAAAUCCAAAAUUGGGGAGAUCAAUUUUUUAUGAAGAAAAGUCCUGGCUAAUUUUUUUCCCCAUCAUUGACAUAUCCCUGCUCUCAAACGACCGUAGAAGUAAUUAGGAAAUGACCCAGUUUUGUUAGAAAAAGUUGUACCAAAAUAUAUCAAAACAUAUUCAUUGAUGUCAGAAAAAGUCAAGAUGCUGAAUGGAAUGAAUAUAUCUCCUCAAAUGGAGGCCUUAAGUGAAUUUUGUUUAGUAAAAUUUAUCCAAUCAUAUUAGUGGUCUAUCUAAAUCAUUGACUAUAUUGGGUAGAAUUGUGUGGAUAAUUUCUAUAGUCUAUGACUCGAAUUUCACAGUUGACAUCAUCCACCAAAAUUAUAAAAAGAAGCACUUCUUCAAGCAACGGAAGAUGCAGCAGUUUCGGAGUGGGAAGCAGCGGAGAAAAAUAAUAUAUCUGUCUAUGACGCUUUCUCGGACAAUAGCUUGUCGUCAAAGUAUAUGUAUUAAAUUGAGGAGGUGCGCGUAUCUUCGAUAGUACAUAAAUAAUUCGAUAAGUUUGUUUUAGAGAUUGUUUCUUACGUGAAAAUUUAUAUCUGUGAUAUUGUUAAUUUUCUGUGUUUAUUUUAGUGUCUUUUUGCGUGAUCUGGUAUUUAGCUGAAUCUAGAAUUUUCCAUUUUCCUAGUGGAUUUCUUGAGACUCUUUAUUGAAUAUAUUCUUCUGUUUCUUCCUUUUCUUUGAAAAAGUGUCAACGUUACCCGCCGAAUACGCUUCUUCUUUUUCCUUAUCAAUCAACAUCUAAAAAAUUAACUGAAUAUAUUUAUAUAAACCUUCUUCGUUUUCUAUCUUAUUAUGAUAUGUAGACCUGAUGGGAUUAAUUCGUUAGAUCCAAUUCCGAAGAAGCUGAGUUAUUAAAGUUUUGCAGCAAAACGCAAAAAAAAUUAUGGAAGAUGCAUUGGAGAAUAUCAAUUUAGCCUUUGAUAUUAAAUCAGACACUUUUGUCCUUUAUUAACAGAUGAUAAUCAUAGGUCAUUUAGACAGGACUACCUUGAUUUUGAGGAUAUCGUAAAUGCUGGUUCUUUUUUUGGGUUCAAAGAAGAAGAAGUAUAAGGUGUAAAUCCUAAACACCCCUUUUGGUCAGGCAUGUUUUUACACUCUUGAUCAAGUAGAUGUGGGAAAUAGGGCUCCGGAUCUGAAGUAGGUAUACAAGACACUAAAUCUAUCAGUGAGUGGUUGCGACAUUAUGAUCAAAAUGAGAAUUAAAGGUUGAGAGACUAAAUGAUACGAUAAUCAAAAGUUUAAAAAUAGAAGCUCUAAAAAGAAUAAGGAGAGUUAAAGAUGAAUAUAUGAUAGCUACAUGACCAUCGCAGUUCGGGAAAGUUAUGGACCAUUGCCCUUUAAGUGGCCACCUAUAAAUAAAGCUGCUCACUUACCAUUCUAUAGUAACGCUAUCACUCAAAUCAUACCAGCUGGGGAAUGCCUCGUCACUCUAAAAUUUGAUGGUGUCAAAAGGCAAUGUCAUCAGAGUUUUAGCCAGGGUGAUAACGAAUUAACUUGUAAUGCAAUACGAGUUCAAUUAUUUACCUAAAAAAUAUCCUAAAUACUAAAAUCAAAAGAGAUACUAGUUUUCAAUGGGAGAACCAGUGUAGGGAACCCUUAUGUUUAAGAAUAUGAAACUCACAAUAAUGCAUAGUCUAAUAUUAUGCCCACUCAAGCAGAGCGUGUAUAGGUCAUCGAAAUAAUUGUCAAUAGAACAUCGGAUGACAAUUUUACUUAACUAAGUAACAACAACAUCUCCCUGAAUCUAUUGAUAAAGAGAGCACAACAUUCGUAUCAGAAGAGCCAUCGAAUCAGAACUGUCUCCUAAAACCUAUUUUUGAUGAUAAUGGUACAAAUAAUGAAACCGACAUCAAUACAAGUACAUAACUGGUUGAUAAUUAUAAUUACAAAUACGUAGCACUAAAUAAUCCUUAAAGAUUAUAAAAUAAAACACGACUUGUUACUUUGAUAGUAUAUAUAAGAAGUAGUCUAUAAUCAUUUAUUCGUUUGUAAUACAUACAAGGUACUAUGGAUACAUAAUAGUAAGAGCAAUUACACACCAUUUCCCAUUUUAAAGAGAGUUAAACACCAAUAAUUAUUUAAAUACAUUAAAACGAGCACUUCUUCUCAGCUUGGUCGGAGAUUAAGGUAUAUGCAAAAUUAAUUGCAUUUUUGUAUAAUCUCGCUUUAUAUGAAUCGCAUUUCCUCACUUUCUGGACCCUUCUUCCAUUUUGGCCUCAUAGGCAUUUCCAUGCCUAUGCUUCGAUAUAAUGACGGCCUUUCGUUUCCCUCUCUUUGAUUUCUCAUCUUGCAAACAUACUCUCUCCCCCUUUUGGAAAGUAAUUUGCUGUUUAAAUUGAUAAUUCUCGUACAUUGGCAAUUCUUCUCUUAGUUUUCUUCUAAACAUAGUCUCGCCUGGAGAAUCACAGUCUCCCCUUGGUGUGAAAUUUGGCUAGGGUUUUUUUAAAUUUGGCAUAAUUAUAAUUUACUUUUUCCAUUAAAUGUUUCAUAUUUUUAACUGAUGAUUCGGCAUGUCCAUUUGACUGAGCGUAGUAAGGUGAUUAAAUUCGUUAAUAAUACUAUUAAAAUUAGAGAAUUCUUUAUAUUUUUCACUUUUAAAAUGAGGGCCACCAUCACUUAUUACAUAUUUUGGGAACCCAAAGUCAUAAAACCAAUCUAGUUGAAUAUUAGUUACUUCUGUUGUCGUAGUCUUUUCAAUAUUCAACCCAAGAAAAUCCAGUAAAUCUAUCGACCAACAAUAAAAAGCCCUUCUUAUCUUGGUGGAAUAAGUCGAGGGAUACUUGUUCCAUAGGUUGACUUGCUAUCGUUUUAUUAUGUUCUGUCGGUUUUGCUUGACUUGGUUGAAUUUCUAUACAUUUAGAACCCGACUCAAGACUUGAUUUAAUUGAAUUGUUCAUACCAAGCCAAAAGUAUCGAUCUCGGGCUAACUUUCGGGCUCGAACAAUACCAGGAUGAGAUAUAUAUAAUUUCUUCAAAAUAUAACUAAUGCCACUACUUGGUAUAAUAAUUUUUCCAUUCGUGAUUAGUAGUUUGUUUUCCAGUGAAAUAUUCAUACAAAUUGCCUUGUAAGAACGUAUUGGAUGUGUCUUCGAUACUCCUUAAUUUGUUUGCCUUCCAAAAACGCUAUUAUCAUUUCUUGAUAAUUUAAAUCUUCACUUGCAAAUGUCUCAAGUUCUUUUAGUUUAGGAUCAGACGGUAUCAAAUAAACGUUGUUAAUUUUCUUUUCAGGCCGAUCUGGCUUAGAAACAGGAAAGCGUGACAUAACAUCGAAUAAAUUUUUUAACACCUGAAAAUCCUUCGAAAUUAUUGCAAGACUUUGACAAGUUUUCCAACUGAGUAGCACUCAUUUUUUCUCUCCGGACUUAUAAGGGACGUUGCUUUACUGAUGUUACCAUUAAAUAUUAUAGCUAAUUCACAAUGCCUGACAAAUUUCAUUAAAUUUCCCCUUGCGUUGCGGAUAUUGGGAUGAUAAUAUUCAUUCCAUUGAAUACUAUAUUUAUUGACAAUAUUCUUAGAAAUAAUGGUGAUUCAUGAUCCAGUAUCAGGUAAAGCUUUUAAUUGAUGUUGUUUGUUGUGACUAUGAUUCACAAUAACAUUGGCUUUUGGAGUAUCUUCGUCGUGUGCAUUCAACACAUUCCCAAUAAAAGUUGAACUAAUAUUCUUACCCCUGGGAAAUAUACAACACACUUUCAUAAUAUGCCCUUUUUUGUUGCAAUUCCAACAAAUAACAUUAAAACUAUAAUAGCAAUCCUCAAUCAUGCGGUCUAACACUCCACAACGAAUACAACCUUUUGAAAUAGUAGUGCUACUUGUAUUGUUUCGGCUGUUGGUAUAUCGUCGAUCUCCUUUUGAAUCCCCAAAUCUAUUAAGGUUACUUUUUGGUGUCACUGACUUAUUUUCAAAUUUUCUUCUUCUUUAAACAGCAUUAAUAGUCUUGAAUACCUCGUGAUUCCACUUCCCUUUUAUUACUCCCCCUUGCUUCGUAGGAUUGAGUAAUUUUCUUCAAUGUCUCUCUUGUUAAAUCUCUCCCUGCCUUGAGAUAUUCUUGUCUCAAUUCAUCGUUAUUCGUGGCAACAAUGUAGCGAAAAAUAUCCAACUGUUCGAUUGACAUAUUCUUUACGUUCCUUGAACUUCUAAAAUAUAUAAUCUUCUUUCGAAAUCAGACAUAUUUUUAUCUUCUCUUUGAGUUCCUCUGAAGUAUUUUAACCUUUUUGUAAACAAUGGAUAUAUUUCAAGAAAUUCUUCAAAUAUUUAUUGCUCACAACUAUUUUUAUCAUAGCCAAAUAUUGGCGUAUCUGACAAAAUUUUUGAGGCAAUUGCUUUUUCCAAAUCAAUAGACAAACAACUACGGAAGUAGGCAUGCUGAUCUUGAAUUGGAAUAAUGUACAUAUUACUAGUAGAAUAGUAUGACCUGAAUCCACUCAACCAAUUCUUCAUUUGCUCUACUGAGUAACAUUUUUUUUGCGAGGGUUUGGGCUUGAAAGAAUCGUUUGGUCUACAAAUCUUUGGCCCAUCAAGGGAUGGAGUAUAUAAAGAAGUAGACUAAGAAGAACCGGAACGAAAAGGUUCCAUGGUUUUAAUCAGAACCACUCUUCCCUCUCCUACAACUUCAUGAUACCUUUGAAAUUGUUCCUCGAGGUCGGAUUGAAUAAUUAUAUCGUUUCCUUAUUUGUUUUCUUCUCCACUACAAUCCCUUCAGGCAUUAGCACCAUCCUCAACAAAUUUAUAUAUAUAAGAAUAGUGUUUAAUAAUAUCCUGUAGUUCUUGGAUAUUGAAUGAAUUAGGUGAAUUAUCCUUGUUCAGAUUUAUAUGAGUUUUAAGACUUGUAAUAGCUCUAGUGAGAACACCUUUCAUUCCUGAAUAGCUGUUCUUGGUUUUGGUUGUCGUCUUUAAUUAAUUAAAAAGUCAAAUGCACUAAGAUUUACACUCCGCACAAUAUACUUGUAUUAGUGUAUCUACUUGUUAACGGAGCUUUUCCAAAUGUAUGGAACCUCUCACUAUCCUCGCUUAAUAUGUAUUCUCUGAAUUUUAUCGAUCUUCCUUAUUUGUCGUUUUAAGAUAUUAUGGACUUAAUUAGAUUUAACUUAAUGACUUAAUUGGUUAAUUGCCGACUGCGUCUUGGUUGAUAAUUAUAAUUACAAAUACGUAGCGCUAAAUAAUUCUUAAAGAUUAUAAAAUAAAACACGACUUAUUACUUUGAUAGUAUAUAUAAGAAUGAGUCUAUAUUCAUCUGCUCGUUUGUAAUACAUACAUAGUACUAUGAAUACCAUAUAAUGGUAAAAAUCACACACCAAUAACCGUCUUCUAAAGAAAUAGACAACACAACAAAAAAUAUCGUAACAUCACUCUUAAGCUGUUUGGGGGAAUAUUUAUUAGAGAAGAAAUGUGGAUGUUCCUCUACAAAAGAUGUAAAUAAAAAUUCAUGUAAUGUAUUAUAAAGAAGGUGAUGGUUCUUUAAAUCAGAAACAGAGUAGAUCAGUGUGUUCAAGUUGAUUGAAUUCGACGGACUCAUUUACAAGUCUGAGGAGGAGUAAAAGAAAUAAGCCUUUAAGUAUAUUUUAAUGACUCUAACAAUCCUUUUUCCUUAAUAUGAAUUCUUUAAUCUCGGAUAAAAGAAAGAAUUACGUUUUUAAAUAUCAAUAAUAUAUGCAGUGGUCUGAUCUUGUAAUUUUUUGUGACACAAGAACCAUCAUGGAAAACUAGUACGGUAUUUCCAAUAUAUAUAAUCGGAUCGAAUGUAACUCAAACUAGGCAGGAAGGUUGUAGCAACUUUAACAAAAAUAGGCAUUGAAGUCUGUGACACCUUUAGCCAUAUAAGUGGAAAUCUAUGCAAUGUCAAAAUAAAAUUCAAUUAUAGUAUAUUUGAUUUUUUUGGUAUUUAUGGUCCGAAUCAAGACAAACCAGAGCUUUACUCCAAACUACUUCCCCCACUUGUGGAGAGCUGUGACUCAAUCUUUGGUGGCUGAUUCUAACUUACGCCUUCAGAAUGAAGACUCCACAGUACUCAGGGCUAUGAUAUUGAAAAGAGGAUUAUUAACUAAGCAUAUUUUUAAAUAACAAUGAUCAUACAAAACAAAAAAAAGGAAAAUAGAUCGUGACGUCAAGGCUGGAUAUAUGCCUCUUUAGGAGCAAUGGGACAAGCGAACCAUCGAAGAUUGAUAUUCUUCCAAACUUCGUCUCUGAUCAUAAAUCAAUUCUUAUAGAAUUUGCAACAAACAAUGAGAAGAGACAUAUUAAAAUAUUGUUUCUGAAUAGUACCAUUCUGAAAGACAGUGUAUGGAAAGAAAAACUAAAUGAUGUAAUUGUCAAUACUAAGAUUAAGAUUGUGGAGGGAAUGGAGAUUUCAAAGUAUUUAGAAAACAUGGAAAAUAAUUGCAAAGUCCUUUACAUCUGCUAAAACCACUUAUAACUUAUCUGCAAAAUUUACUGCACAUCAAAGCUUUCCCUCACCAAAAUAUGCCUGUAACUUGAUACUAUUCAAUCAAAAUAAUAUUAUCAAGAAAGUGUCUUAAUGUUAGCUAUAAUUUAUUGUAUGAUACGAAUAUUAUGAACUUUCAUAACAAAAGAAUUAAAUUAUAAAUGUUGAAGUAUGAUUUAAUCAAGUUGAUCAAUUCUUCUUUUUCUUCUUGUUAUUAUUAUUAUUUAUCUAGAAUAGAAUCACUAUAUAUUUGAAUUUUUAAAUACUUUACAUUGGUGACGCCAACUGAUUCUUCACCACCUGUGCCUCCCCAAAAACAAGCAUGGUCGAUUAGAACGGAAGAGGCAAAUUUGACCAUUGCUGUUUCGGAACUCCACCUUCCUAGGUUCUGUUCUUCGGAUGUUGAGAACUGGUUCCGGAGAAUUGAACUUAAUUUUGUGUUGAGGGGGAUUUGUCAUACCAAAGUCAAGUAUAGUGUUAUGGCGUCAGCAUUGCCGGGCAAGGUUUUAAAUAUUAUUUCUAAUAGUGAGGAGAAUCUCACUUAUACGGGAGCGAAGAAAUCCAUAUUAGUCCGAUAUUGGCUAUCAUCUUCCGCAAGGAUAGAAAGAGUAGUCGACAUUAUGGUUGAUACUUCCUGCUCUCGAGUAUGGGGGUAAAAGAGGAGGUUGAACGUCUUCUGGAUUCGGAAUUACGUUAAAGUUUGAUUAAAGAGGCACGAAUAAUGAAUGCUCCAAAGAAACAACAGGGAUAUUUGAGAGUACAAUCACCACUUACGAUUAAGAACUUAGCAGAUAUGUGUACGGCUGCGAAUUAAGUCACAAACACUUCUAUUUCUACUGUCGAGGAUCCAUCCCACUGUCACACCUUUGAUUAAGAAGAGACCUAGCGGAGCUUUUUUGAAGUCCUCAACAUCUGCAAAAUUAAAAAAAGUAUAUUAUUAUCAUUCAAAAUUUGGUUUGAAUUCAAAUGUGUGCUCUGGUCCCGAUUGUCAUUUGAAUUCAUUGAUUAAAAAAAAAACUCAUUUGUCCUCAGUUACACGGAACUAAGGCAUUAAAUAAUCCUUCAAUUUUCUUAUUUUUUAAAGACAAUAUAAAUUCAAUUUAUUUUAUUGUAUAUACGGGUGCCCAGGUAUCCGUUAUAUCCCCGACGUAUUGUGAAGAUUUCAUUUGUAUUAAAAUGCCACCUAUACUUGGUUAAGCAGGGAAUCCAGUAGAAGUUCUCGGUACUAAAACUCUCAGGGUACAAAUAGAAAGUUUAAGAACUUUUCAAUGUAAAUUUAUUAUUGUAUCUAGAGGCCACUCUAUUUUAGAGGGUGAUUUUCUUCAUUUCUACAAAAUUAAUUUUGACCUAUUGAACAAGAUUUUUUUUUUAAUGAUCCAUGCGUCAUUUCAGAAUUAUCAGAAACCCAAUAUGUUCAAUCUCAAUACCCUGAAGUUUUCUAUGAUAAAAAAUUCGCUGAAUCUUAUCCUGCUCAUGGAGUUGGACAUCACAUCGAAAUUAAGGGUCCUCGCUGCUUUGCAAAAUCCCGCAAACUGGAUGGUGUUAAACUCAAUGUUGUUAAAAACGAAAUUGAUAGACUUCUAGAGAAGGGAAUAAUUCCUCCAUCUUCUUCAAAUUUUUCAUCAGAGAUUCAUAUCAUACCUAAAGCCAAACAAGGCUGGCGAAUGUGUGGUGAUUAUUGUCAAUUAAAUAACAUGACGGAUCAAGAUCGAUAUCUUCUUCCAAAUUUAAGGGAUUUCGUCCCCAACCUAAAAGGGAUGAAAUUUUUUAGUAAAAUGGGCUUGCACAGAGCUUACAAUCAAAUUCCCAUGAGUGAAGACUCCAUAAGUAAACCAUCUAUCAUUACGCCAUUUGGGUUAUAUGAGUACUUGAGAAUGCCGUUUGGACUUAAAAACGCUGCCCAGACAUUCCAACGACUCAUCGAUUUGUUUUGAGGGGAAUUACAAAUGUCUUCGUGUAUCUUGCUGGUAUAUUGAUUGUUUCUCGGACGAGGGAUGAACAUUGGCAGUCUAUAAAUGCAGUUAUGUUGCACCUUAAAACUUCCAGCUUUGUACAUUAUCUUGAAAAAUGUGAGUUUUUCAGGUACUCUGUUGAGUUCCUUGGAUAUUCUAAGUCACCGGAGUGGUUUACACCUCAUAAAUCGAAAGUUGGAGCUAUUGCAAGAAUUUCACCUCCAAAAUCGAAAGAUGAUUUACAAAUUUUUAGGCAUGGCUCAAUUCUAUUAACAAUUGAUCAAAGAUUUGUCAAAAUGGACAGUGAAGUUAUAUCCAGUUUUAAAGAAAAAAUUUAAAUUAAUAUGGACUGAUGAAUGUGAAAGAGCAUUUCAAGCCUUACAAAAGAUGCGUCUGAUACCAGAAUGGGAGCCGUUUUGGAACAGAAAGUGAAUGGGCGCUGGCAACCACAAGCAUUUUGGUCUAAAGCCUUAUCUGAAAAGCAAAUUAAAUAUUCAACUUUUCAUAGGAAAUCACAUGCUAUUAAGGAAAGCAUUAAACAUUUUUUGUGGGCAUUAGAUGGACAAAAUGUUAGAGUAUUUACAGAUCAUAAACCUUUAGUUUCACCGAUAGACAUCUGCCAUCCUUCCUGGACUCCAAGACAAUUCCGUACAUUUGCAUAUGUAGCAGAGUUUAAUUGCAGAAUUGAGCAUGUUUCUGGGAAAUUAAACGACACUGCAGAUAUUCUUUCGAGAAAUGUCAACAACAUCAAAUUAAGUCCCAAUUUACUUCAAGAUGUCAUUGAAGAUCAAACACUCCAUGACCCUAAAUUGUUAAAUUUUACAGUUAAAGCUUGUCUUAGGUGUGUUUCAGGAACUUUAUUUGCAGCCUUUGGUAACAAAGACACCUUUUGUGUCGUACUGUCCUGUACAGAACUACGACGACGAAUUAUUAAUUCAAGCCACAAAGAUAAUCAUCCAGGAUUCAAAGAUACUUUAAGAAAGGUAUCUCUUUUCUACGCUUGGCCUAAAUAGCGUUCUGAUAUUAAAAUUUUUACUAAAGAAUGCAUUGCAUGUCAACAAACAAAGCCUUUUAGAAACUCCAAGCCCACUUCCUCUUUCGAUCCACCAUUAGCGAGACUUGCCUUCAUCCACAUUGAUAUAAUUAGCCCGUUCACACUCGUCAAAGGACAGCGCUAUGCCCUGACUAUAAUGGACGGUAUACCAGGUGGUCUGAAGUGAUCUCAAUUCCUAAUAUCGCCUCUAGUACAAUGGCUAGAGCUUUCUUGGAGGAUGAAUAUCAAAAUUUGGAGUACCUGACAUCAUUGAGUCAGACAGGGGAACGUAAUUCACAAGUGCUAUUUGGAUGUGUGUUCGUAGGGCACUUGGAAUCGCAAAUAGGACGACUACAUCAUAUCAUCCUAAAUUAAACAUGCUUAUUGAACGGUUCCACAGAUCCCUAAAACUGGGCUAUUUGCACGGAUAUCA
rnacentral:lncRNA from 1 species